rnacentral:rRNA from 1 species
GUGGGGAAUCUUGCGCAAUGGGGGCAACCCUGACGCAGCAACGCCGCGUGAGUGAUGAAGGUCUUCGGAUCGUAAAGCUCUGUCGGAGGGAACGAUGGCUUCUUUGGCUAACAUCCAAAGAAGUUGACGGUACUCUCAAAGGAAGCACCGGCUAACUCUGUGCCAGCAGCCGCGGUAAGACAGAGGGUGCAAGCGUUGUUCGGAAUUAUUGGGCGUAAAGCGCGCGUAGGCGGUCGAAUAAGUCGCAUGUGAAAGCCCAGGGCUCAACCCUGGAAGUGCAUGCGAUACUGCUCGACUGGAGUCUCGGAGAGGGUGGUGGAAUUCCUGGUGUAGAGGUGAAAUUCGUAGAUAUCAGGAGGAACACCGGUGGCGAAGGCGACCACCUGGACGAGUACUGACGCUGAGGUGCGAAAGCGUGGGGAGCAAACAGGAUUAGAAACCCGGGUAGUCC